rnacentral:rRNA from 1 species
AACGAACGCUGGCGGCAGGCCUAACACAUGCAAGUCGAACGCCCCGCAAGGGAGUGGCAGACGGGUGAGUAACACGUGGGAACAUACCCUUCGGUUCGGAAUAACUCAGGGAAACUUAGAGCUAAGACCGGAUACGUCCGCGAGGAGAAAGAUUCAUCGCCGGAGGAUUGGCCCGCGUCCGAUUAGCUAGUUGGUGGAGGUAACGGCUCACCAAGGCGACGAUCGGUAGCUGGUCUGAGAGGAUGAUCAGCCACAUUGGGACUGAGACACGGCCCAAACUCCUACGGGAGGCAGCAGUGGGGAAGUAUUGGACAAUGGGCGAAAGACCUGAUCCAGCCAUGCCGCGUGAGUGAUGAAGGCCCUAGGGUUGU